UACAUGGGGUGCAAACGUUGCUCGGAAUUAUUGGGCGUAAAGCGCACGUAGGCGGUUUGUUAAGUCGGAUGUGAAAUCCCUCGGCUCAACUGAGGAAGUGCAUCCGAAACUGGCAGGCUUGAGUACUAAAGAGGGUCGCGGAAUUCCCGGUGUAGAGGUGAAAUUCGUAGAUAUCGGGAGGAACACCGGUGGCGAAGGCGGCGACCUGGGUAGAUAUUGACGCUGAGGUGCGAAAGCGUGGGGAGCAAACAGG
rnacentral:rRNA from 1 species